UGGCGUCUAUGGUGGAGCGGCCCCGA
rnacentral:sRNA from 1 species